rnacentral:rRNA from 1 species
AGAGUUUGAUCAUGGCUCAGGACGAACGCUGGCGGCGUGCUUAACACAUGCAAGUCGAACGGAAAGUGCCCAGCUUGCUGGGUGACUCGAGUGGCGAACGGGUGAGUAACACGUGGGUGAUCUGCCCUGCACUUUGGGAUAAGCCUGGGAAACUGGGUCUAAUACCGAAUAUUCCUUGCUGGUCGCAUGGCCUGGUGGGGGAAAGCUUUUGCGGUGUGGGAUGGGCCCGCGGCCUAUCAGCUUGUUGGUAGGGUGAUGGCCUACCAAGGCGACGACGGGUAGCCGGCCUGAGAGGGUGUCCGGCCACACUGGGACUGAGAUACGGCCCAGACUCCUACGGGAGGCAGCAGUGGGGAAUAUUGCACAAUGGGCGCAAGCCUGAUGCAGCGACGCCGCGUGAGGGAUGACGGCCUUCGGGUUGUAAACCUCUUUCAACGCCGACGAAGCGUAAGUGACGGUAGGCGUAGAAGAAGCACCGGCCAACUACGUGCCAGCAGCCGCGGUAAUACGUAGGGUGCGAGCGUUGUCCGGAAUUACUGGGCGUAAAGAGCUCGUAGGUGGUUUGUCGCGUUGUUCGUGAAAACCGGGGGCUUAACCCUCGGCGUGCGGGCGAUACGGGCAGACUGGAGUACUGCAGGGGAGACUGGAAUUCCUGGUGUAGCGGUGGAAUGCGCAGAUAUCAGGAGGAACACCGGUGGCGAAGGCGGGUCUCUGGGCAGUAACUGACGCUGAGGAGCGAAAGCGUGGGGAGCGAACAGGAUUAGAUACCCUAGUAGUCC